rnacentral:lncRNA from 1 species
AGAUGGACACAGCAUGCAUGAAUAUGGAUAGACUGACAUGGGAUGGAUGGAUACAGGGCGGGUGGACACGAGGUGGGAUGACGUGGGACGGGCAGACAUAGGAUGGAAGGGUAUGGAUAGAUGGACGUGGGACAGGUGGACACUGGGUGGAUAUGGGAUGGGCAGACAAGGGGUGGUGGAUGGACAUGGGUGGACAGAUAUGGGAUGGAUGGAAUAUGGGAUGGGCAGACAUGGGAUGGAUGGACAUGGGAUGGACAGAUAUGGGAUAGGUAGAAAUGGGAUGGAUGGAUAUGGGAUGGACAGACAUGGGAUGGAUGGACAUGGGAUGGACAGAUAUGGGAUGGACAGAUAUGGGAUGGAUGGGCAUGGGAUGGACAGAUAUGGGAUAGGUAGAAAUGGGAUGGAUGGAUAUGGGAUGGACAGACAUGGGAUGGAUGGACAUGGGAUGGACAGAUAUGGGAUGGACAGAUAUGGGAUGGAUGGGCAUGGGAUGGACAGAUAUGGCAUGGGUAGAAAUGGAUGGAUAUGGGAUGGAUGGACAUGGGAUGGAUGGAAUAUGGGAUGGGCAGACAUGGGAUGGAUGGAUAUGGGAUGGAUGGAUGGAUAUGAAUGGAUGGGUAGGCAUUGGGUGGACCUGCGAUGGGUGGACAUGGGAUGGAUGGUAUGGGAUGGAUGGAUAUGGGAUGGAUGGGUAUGGGAUGGAUGGACACAGUGGAUGGAUAGAUAUGAAGGGAUGGGUAGACAUUGGGUGGACUUGGGAUCGGUGGACAUGGGAUGGAUGGGUAUGGGAUGGAUGGACAUGGGAUGGAUGGGUAUGGAAUGAUGGAUAUGGGCUUGAUGGAUAUGGGAUGGAUGGACAUGAAAAGCUAACAAGGGCCAGAUGGACGUGGGGGGGUGGCCCAGCACCCCACCUCCCUCCUCGCACCCAUCAGUGCUGCGGUACCCCCACCCAGCACCCACCCGCCCCAUCCCCGCACCCCCCGUGCCCCACAUCCCCCUCCCCACGGCGCCCAUCCAUGCUGGCUUUUCCGGCCCAGCUGUCCCGCGGGGCGCGGGGGCCGGGGCAGGAAUUCGGCCGGGGCUGAGCAGCGCGCGGCAGCUCCGGAGACAGAGCAGCCUCUGAAUGCAGGGAAUGUUUUUGCAGCUGGAGUCCAUUAGGGGAGGGCUCGGCGGCUUUAUUAAUCCCAGCCUUAUUGCUCAAGAGGCGCGGGAGGGCAGGGGGAGCGCGGGGUGCGCGCAGGGGGGGAGAGCGGCCGUGAGGGGGGGUGUGGGGGGCAUAAAGAGCAGUGAGUGUGCGAGGAGGGUCUCCCUGACGACGGCCGUCCCUCCGCCGCGGGGCUUUUCUGCACCACGGAGGCUGCCCCUCUGCAGAGGUUUCCCCGCAGUGGAGGUUUCCCCCGUUAUGGAGCCGUCCCCGUGACGGAGGUUUCCCCAUCACUGAGGUUCCCCCACGGUGGGGUUCCCUCUAUGGCAGAGGUUCCCCCGUUCUGGGCACUCCCGCACGGCAGAUGGUGGAAAUAUCCUCCUGGUGAAGGUCUCCCCAAUCGCGGAGGUUCCUCCCUGCUGGAGGUGUCCCCACAGCGGAGGUUUGUCCUACAGUGGAGCUUUCCUCCUUGAUGGAGCCUUCCCCGCUGAUGGACGUUCCCCCAUUAUUGAGGCUCCCCCACGAUGGAGGCUUCUUCACAGUAGGGUCCCACCGAGAUGGAGGUCCCCCAUCGGUUUCCCCGUGACAGAGGUUUCCCAUAACCGGGGUUCCCCUGUGGUGGAGGUUUCCCCAUUAGGGAUGUUUCCCCGUCACUGAGGUUUCUCUGCAAUGGAGGAUCCCAUUGAUGGAGGGUCCCCUUAACGGAGCUUCCUCCCAUGAUGGAGGCUCCACUGAUGGAGGUUCCCCCAUUGAUAGAGGUUCCCCCAUUGAUGGAGGUACUCCCCAUAAGCGCGGUUCCCACUGACUGAGGUUCCCACUGAUGGAGGUUCCCAUUGAUGGAGGUUCCCACUGGUGGAUGUUCCCCACUGAUGGAGGUUCCCCAUUGAUGGAGGUUCCCCACUGAUGGAGGUUCCCACUGAUGAAGGCUCCCAUUGAUGGAGGCUCCCCAGCGCAGCCCCCCACCCUGGCAGGCUAUGGGGCAGAGCAGCACCGGGAGGAGAAGCAGUGGGGCAGCGGUGUCGGGUUUGUGCAGACGUGGAGCUGUGUGUGGGGCUGAGCCCCCCGCGCUGCCCCCCGCCUGCGCUCCCCUUCCUCUGCUUUGAUUUCUCAUUUCUCUUUUCUUGUUUCUUUUUAUGAUUUUUCCUUUCUUUUUUUUUCUUUUUCUUUGUUUCAUUUCCCCCCUUUUCCUCUUUCUUUUUAUUUAUUCUUUUUCCUCUCUUUUCCUUUUUCUCAUUUCUUUUGGCUUUUCCUUCUUUUCCUUUUUCUUCCUCAUUUUUCCUUUUGUUGCUUUUUCUUUCCAUCUUUUUUUCCUUUUUUUCCUUUCUUUCCUUUUUUCUUUUCUCACUUUUUUAGUUAUUUUCCUCUAUUUUUUCUGGUUUCUUCUUUCCUUUGAUUUUAUUUUUAUUUUUCUCUCUUUUUUUUCCCAAUUUUCUCUCCGUUUUUCUUUUUCCCAAUUUUUCUUCCCCCCCCUUUUUUCCCUCUGUUUUUUCUUCCUCCCUCUCCCUCCUCUUCCUCCCCCCCCCCCGCUCCUUUCUCUCUCUCUCCCAUUUCUCUCCGUCCCCCUCCCCAUUUUCCUCCCCUCCUCCAAAGCCGCUCCGCCAUAGCGGUGUCUCCGCACCCCAAACCCAACGGCGCACACCGCCCGUCCCGCCCCACCCCCGUUCGUUCCCGCAGCCCCACCUGCGCCCCCCCCGACCCCAAACGGCUGCAGCGGAGGAACGAAACGCCCCCG